rnacentral:rRNA from 1 species
CAACUCUGUCAUUUAGAGGAAGUAAAAAGUCGUAACAAGGUUUCCGUAGGUGAACCUGCGGAAGGAUCAUUACCGAGUGAGGGCCCUCUGUGGUCCAACCUCCCACCCGUGUUUAUUUUACCUUGUUGCUUCGGCGGGCCCGCCUUAACUGGCCGCCGGGGGGCUUACGCCCCCGGGCCCGCGCCCGCCGAAGACACCCUCGAACUCUGUCUGAAGAUUGUAGUCUGAGUGAAAAUAUAAAUUAUUUAAAACUUUCAACAACGGAUCUCUUGGUUCCGGCAUCGAUGAAGAACGCAGCGAAAUGCGAUACGUAAUGUGAAUUGCAAAUUCAGUGAAUCAUCGAGUCUUUGAACGCACAUUGCGCCCCCUCUGGUAUUCCGGGGGGCAUGCCUGUCCGAGCGUCAUUUCUGCCCUCAAGCACGGCUUGUGUGUUGGGCCCCGUCCUCCGAUCCCGGGGGACGGGCCCGAAAGGCAGCGGCGGCACCGCGUCCGGUCCUCGAGCGUAUGGGGCUUUGUCACCCGCUCUGUAGGCCCGGCCGGCGCUUGCCGAUCAACCCAAGUUUUUAUCCAGGUUGACCUCGGAUCAGGUAGGGAUACCCGCUGAACUUAAGCCAUUCAAUUAUGCCGGGAAAAAU